rnacentral:rRNA from 1 species
AGAGUUUGAUCCUGGCUCAGGAUGAACGCUGGCGGCGUGCUUAACACAUGCAAGUCGAACGAAGCACUUUUACAGAUUUCUUCGGAAUGAAGUUUUAGUGACUGAGUGGCGGACGGGUGAGUAACGCGUGGGUAACCUGCCUCACACAGGGGGAUAACAGUUGGAAACGGCUGCUAAUACCGCAUAAGCGCACAGUACCGCAUGGUACAGUGUGAAAAACUCCGGUGGUGUGAGAUGGACCCGCGUCUGAUUAGCUAGUUGGCAGGGUAACGGCCUACCAAGGCGACGAUCAGUAGCCGACCUGAGAGGGUGACCGGCCACAUUGGGACUGAGACACGGCCCAAACUCCUACGGGAGGCAGCAGUGGGGAAUAUUGCACAAUGGGGGAAACCCUGAUGCAGCGACGCCGCGUGAGCGAAGAAGUAUUUCGGUAUGUAAAGCUCUAUCAGCAGGGAAGAAGAAAUGACGGUACCUGACUAAGAAGCACCGGCUAAAUACGUGCCAGCAGCCGCGGU